rnacentral:rRNA from 1 species
ACCCGCUGAACUUAAGCAUAUCAAUAAGCGGAGGAAAAGAAACUAACAAGGAUUCCCCUAGUAACUGCGAGUGAAGCGGGAAAAGCUCAAAUUUAAAAUCUGGCAGUCUCUGGCUGUCCGAGUUGUAAUCUAGAGAAGUGAUGCCCGCGCUGGACCGUGUACAAGUCUCCUGGAAUGGAGCGUCAUAGAGGGUGAGAAUCCCGUCUUUGACACGGACUUACCAGGGCUUUGUGGUACGCUCUCAAAGAGUCGAGUUGUUUGGGAAUGCAGCUCAAAAUGGGUGGUAAAUUCCAUCUAAAGCUAAAUAUUGGCGAGAGACCGAUAGCGAACAAGUACCGUGAGGGAAAGAUGAAAAGAACUUUGGAAAGAGAGUUAAACAGUACGUGAAAUUGCUGAAAGGGAAACGCUUGAAGUCAGUCGCGUUGGCCAGGGAUCAGCCUCGCUCUUUUGUGUGGUGUACUUUCUGGUUAACGGGUCAGCAUCAAUUUUGACCGCUGGAAAAAGGCUUGAGGAAUGUGGCAGCUUUGGCUGUGUUAUAGCCUCAUGUCGCAUACAGUGGUUGGGAUUGAGGAACUCAGCACGCCGUAAGGCCGGGUUUCGACCACGUUCGUGCUUAGGAUGCUGGCAUAAUGGCUUUAAGCGACCCGUCUUGAAACACGG